GACAGUAUUAGGAAAGGGGGAGAAAAGAAGGGAAAGGGGGUGGGGGAGACAAUGGAAGAAAAGGGAUCUGAUAGUCCUUUAGGGAUAUGUGGCUCUGAACUUUGCUGUCCCCUCUUAAAAUGUUCUGUAGGUGGCCCCACUGCUUCUGUUACCUCUACCACUGGAAAAAAAAUUCUCUAACUUCACUGCAUUCUUUUGUCAUCUUGUUGCCUUGGAAACCUCCAUACCACACACCUGAUUCAUGCAUCUCGCCUGGCUAAGUCCAGACUCAGGUCAAAGGCUGGCAUUUGCCCUGUGUUUCCCUUUCUUCUUUUUUCCAGGCAUCUGUAAACUGAAGAUAGACAGAAUGAGAUGGAGCUAUCAAGGCCAAGUUUGACUGCCAGGAAGGAGCUGGAGCAGCCAAAGAGGCUGAACAUGUCAGACUUCUCUCCCAGCCUGCCACACACACUUAAAACCUAAAGGAAAUAAGCCGGGAUCAAUGGGAGGAAGGGAGCCAACCAGGUGGCUUAGGACUUGUACUGGUGAAAGGAGAGCCCACACCUCUCAAGAAUCUCCAAAGUGCUGAAGAAAUAAGACUUUUAAAAAUGUCAUGGGAAUUUUGCGAAGGCCAAGUAAGGACAUAACUGAUUCUCCAUGGUGAAAGUUUAACCAAAGUUGACAAAAACCACCACCGUCUACUAUAAAAGCGUUGUGGAUAUGUACCAAGAAGGACUUCACAUACUUGAUAUGACACUGCUGAUAGAGAAGUUAUUUCGGUGGGAAGAAUAGAACUUUAUCCUGAUAACAUCAUGAGUGUGGCUUUGAGGACCAAACAGUUCCUAAAUCCUACAGCCUAUGAUAGUUCCAUUGCUUGAUCAAGUUUAACAGUUUUUUUCUCCUUUCAUAAUGGUUUAUCACCUAGAUACAUUUUUCUACACCAUCCGAAAAGGAAAGAGAACUUCAGGGGCCAAAAAACCCACAAAGGCAGAGAAGAUAAUCAUUUGAAAGUAUUAAUGGCAGUAAGAAAAUCUUGAAAGAACAAUAGUUUUGUUUUGGUUUUUUUGGUCUGUCUCAAAGAAUGCUUUGACAAAUCUGAUCUGUGCACUUUUCCUGAGUCCCUGGCUUUGAAAUCAAAUCUGGUUUUAAUACAUAGCAGGUAUCAUCAGAGUACUUGGGUCUGUAAUUGAAGGAAAGUUGAGAUGGAGGGUGGGAAGGGAUUAGUUUGAUGCUUUCAUGGCUUGGCACAUCUGUGAAUGUUAGAAUAUAGAAGGAGAUGGAUAUCCAGGUUUAGAUCAGACCUAUCCGGAUGCAGGAGGCACAGAGUUUAGAUUGAAGGUGGCUAUUCAUCUCGAGGUUCAAAUGCUCAUCUUCCAAAGUCUGCCAAAAGGGUGUCAGCCUAUGGAGGGCAGUCUGUUUCUGUUCUUGGUCUGGUUCUUCCCUGAGCAAUAAUAAUUCCAGAAACAUAAACUCUCAUGACACAUAUCAACAUGUCUUUUUCUGAUGUUGGCCCCAAACUGGAAGUUAAACAAUCUGGCCUGAAUUCAGGGCAUCAAAAUGAAAAAAAAAAUAGACUCAAAUUCACAUAAAUUUAGCAGUUUUUUGUAAUAUAAUUCAAUUUAAAUAUUUGUAUAUAUUUAUAUAUGUACAUCCAUAUAUCCACACAUAUAUGUGUGUGUAUAUGUAUGAGGCAGCUAUUUGGCACUGUGGAUAGAGUGUUGGCCCUGGACUCAGAAACACCUGAGUUCAGAUCUGACUUCAGAUACUAAACCAGCUUUGUGACUCCGAGCAAGUCAUUAACCCUCUUUGCCUCAGUUUCUUCAUGUGUAAAAUAAGCUAGAGAAGGAAAUGGCAAACCAUCCCAGUACCUUUGCCAAGACAAAAAAAAAGAUUAAAUAUCAGCAAACAAAAAGUGCAUGAAGGGGAGCAAUAUGAAAUGACUGGGAAGGUAGAUGUGAGCCAGAUGAUGGAGUUCUUGAAAUUCUAGGUUUAUGGUUUUGUGUUUUAUUCUAAAAGCAAAAGGGAGCUGUUGUUUUUUUUUUUUUCUGAAGGGCAGGGAGUGGGGAGGGGAUGAUGGGGGCAAAAUAGGUUUUUAGGAAUUUGUUAACUUUGUGGGAGAUAGACCAGGGGCAACGAAGCAAAUGGAGAUGAGGAGACCAAAUAUAGAUGAAUACUUUGUCAUCUGUUUUUUUCCUCCCUUUUUCAAAGAUACAUCCUUUUUGAAUUGAGUUUUUUUGUUCUUUUUCUGUACGUAGCCAAAAAUAAAACUUCUUUGCAUUGAUUUAUUUGAAAAGGUCCUGUAUUAAAUCUGUUUGGUUUUUCAUGAAGUAAUGAUGAGUCAAGGACCUUUCUGGAUAUUCUUCUGGACUCUGCUGUUGCUUUCCUGGGAUCCUGUGAGAAAAAUCUUUUUCCUGUCUCUGCCUAGGCAAAACCUGGAUAAUGCCAUUUUCCAGCUGCUUAAGGAUAGUUUGGGUUUUAAUGAGAAAACAAAAGGAAAUCAUUUCACCUAUUCAAGAGAUCAGCACAGAACUGAGUGAUCAAUAAGUCAGUGGAUUGCUUUUUUUUUUCUUUUUGCAUGGCUGGUUAUCAGCAUAGUAUAGUGUUGAGUAAUGUGUGUGUUUAGGCAGUCUGAUCUAACUCCCCUUAUUGGAUCACUUCCACUUUACACUCUCCCAGGGAACAAUAUAUUAAGUACAGUAUUUUGAAUUAUCUGUUGAAUCCUACUGUCUGGUUUUGGCAAGUCUCAAGGAAAAUAAGAAUAUUCCUUAGAAUUGCUUGGAACUUUCCCAGAAAGGCCGGCUUCAUACUGUGGGAAACAUCCAUUUCGAGGAUAACACUCACAGGACUCCUCAUACAGAGGCCUCAGAGGAAAAAGACUCCAUUCUGUAAGUUUGGGAGACAAGAAAGUCAGACAUAGAUGAUAUCGCCUAUCACAGGGGCCAGAGCAGUCUAAAUUAUGGGGCUGCCCUUUCCAUAUGUUGGUACAAGUCAUUUCCUUUUAAAUUACUCUAUUUAUCAAUCUCUCAUCCUGUUAUUUUGACAUGCUGAACUUAAAGGAGUUGAUGUUCCCUGUAUAUGUGACAAGAGGGAAAAUGUGGAGGAUGACAGCAAACUGAAAGGUCUUUUAAAGGUGGUGUGGACUGGCUAAAAUGUCUGGGACAUGACAUCAGCUCAUUAAGAAAAAAUAGCUACUGUUACUAUACAGGCUUAAGGUUUAUAAAACUCUUCUUUUAUCCUUUCCAUUUUGUUUUCAUGACAACCCCAUGAGGAUCACAGUUAUUAUUGUACCAGUUUCACAAUUGUGGCAAUUAAAUAAGUCGAUUAAUAAGCAUUUAUUAGGCACCUGUUAUAAGCUAGUGAAGUGAUUUGGUGGACAGAGUGCAGACCUAAAGUCAGGAAGACUCACUGCCAUAAGUUCAAAUCUGGUCUCAGAUACUUACUAUAUGUGCCCCAUGGCAAUCUGCUUAACCCUGUUUGCCUCUGUUUUAUCAUCUGUAAAAUGGCCUACAGAAGGAAAUGGCAAACCCCAUUCAGUGUCUUUGUCAAGAAAAUCCCAAACGGGGUCCAAAAAAGUUAGACAUGACUGAAAAAUGACUAAAACUUAAACCAGGCACUGUGCUAAGCACUGCGGAUUCAAAGAAAAGCCAAGACAAUUUAAAUGAUUUGCUCUGGGCCACAGAGCUAAGAAAGCGCCUGAGACAGGAUUCUAUUUCAGGUAUUCCUUUCUCCAAAACUCUCCACUGAACCAUCCAGCUGCCUAUCAGUCAUUGGUGGCUUAAGAUAAGUUUCAUUUUAAGAUCUGGAACUAAAUCAAAUGUAAAACUUAAGGAACAAAAAUUAAAAAUGAGAUUUGGGAAAGGCCCUUUAGAAACCUGAAUAUUAAAAUAAAAAUUAAUAAUGUUUAAUAAAGGCUACUCUCAAGACUCGGAUUGUUAGACGACAUUAUUCAGCUGUCAUCUUGUGUCUUAUGAGUGUCACAGUUGAUUUUUGGCACCAAAAAUAUAAUAUUGACAGCACUUAUCUUGAUAAUGACAUGGAACUCUUCAAGAGUGAAAACACACUACUGUCAUAUAGUAUCAGAUAAUCCUUUUUCAAAUUUAAGUGAUGAGAACUCUGUAUUAAAUGGUUGCUUUUGUCUAACUUACCAUUUUCCAGAGGUAUAACCUCUAUUCAAAGGAAGAAAGAAGGAAGAAAGGGAGGGAGGGAGGAAGGAAGGAAGGAAGGAAGGAAG